rnacentral:rRNA from 1 species
UAUUGCGCAAUGGAGGCAACUCUGACGCAGUGACGCCGCGUAUAGGAAGAAGGUUUUCGGAUUGUAAACUAUUGUCCUCAGGGAAGAAAAAAGACUGUACCUGAGAAGAAAGCUCCGGCUAACUACGUGCCAGCAGCCGCGGUAAUACGUAGGGAGCAAGCGUUAUCCGGAAUUAUUGGGUGUAAAGGGUGCGUAGACGGGAUAACAAGUUGGUUGUGAAACCCCUCGGCUCAACUGAGGAACUGCAACCAAUACUAUUAUUCUUGAGUGCAGGAGAGGAAAGUGGAAUUCCUAGUGUACCGGUGAAAUGCGUAGAUAUUAGGAAGAACACCGGUGGCGAAGGCGGCUCUCUGGUCUGUAACUGACGCUGAGGUUCGAAAGCGUGGGUAGCAAACAGG